ACAGAUUUUCCUGCCCAGGAUAGCUUUGAACUGCAAUCCUCAGAUCUCAGCCUCCUGAGUAGCUAGGAUCACAGGUGAGCCACUGGUGCCUGGCAGGUUCAAGACAUUUUUUUUUUUUUUUUUGUAGGUGUAAUCCACAUGGGCUAAGGCUCUGUCAGACCUGUAUUAAUUUUGUAGUUGUGACACUUAACUGCUUGAGGGCUAGCUAAAUAGAGAAAGAUGAUAGAUUUUAGUAAGUUAAUUUUAUAUCAGAUGCUAAAUUUUCCUCUCAGUUCUAAGUCCUAUCUUUCAGGUCCUGUUAAAAUUUUUAGGGAGGUUUAAGACUUAAUAUCUGAUAGCUUGUAGCUUGAGACUUUUGUAUCACAUUGGGCCUGACUAUAAAGGUGGUGGAACAGAUGGUGAGUUGAGGUUCAGAGAUGGAGAACUUUAGAGGAGAAUCUCGGUUCACCACAAAUUCUGCUGCACAUUUAAUCACCUGAUUGAUGAAUUUAGUGGGCAUAAGAUUGAGCCUGUAGGGCUCCCUCCACCAGGUGCUUUGUGUGGCAUGUUUAUACCAGCAAAAGAAAGGAAAUGAUAAGCACAGUGCUCUUAAGUGCACAAAUAAAUGUCCCAGAAUGAAACAAUAUGCAGCUCAUGAUUUAAUGUUUGGGGCUUCUGUGUGUAUACAUUUGACAAGUUUGGAAUAAACACAUUCCUAAUAAGUCAUGCCAUAAACCUA